rnacentral:rRNA from 1 species
UACGUAGGCAGCGAGCGUUGUCCGGAAUCACUGGGCGUAAAGGGCGCGUAGGCGGCUCAUGAAGGCUGUGGUGAAAGUCCGGGGCUCAACCUCGGAUCGGCCGUGGCGACUCGUGGGCUGGAGCACUGUAGAGGCGGGUGGAAUUCCGGGUGUAGCGGUGGAAUGCGUAGAGAUCCGGAAGAACACCAGUGGCGAAGGCGGCCCGCUGGGCAGCUGGCUGACGCUGAAGCGCGACAGCGUGGGGAGCAAACAGG